CUACACUCAGAAGUCCAGGAAAUUUGGUGUGGGUAAUGGAACAUGGACAGUAGACCACUCAUCUCCCUUUGGACGGACCAGUGACACAAGUAACUUUGGGAAUACCAACGCUAUGUCCUUUGUGGAAACAGUCUAAGUUAAGGGAAUCAGGGACUAGGAGAAAGAGAGAAAUUGAUGAUGAUUUGAAUUUAUUAGGAGAUGAAGAUCAAUGGCAUGAACCAGACAGCGGGGUGAAGUUUGGAUGGGCAUUGGAAUCUUUGUUUGCACCAAUAGCUACAUAUAGAAAUAGAGAAAUGUUGUUUAAGCUACUGGGACAAACAGAGAGACUGGCAGUAGCAACUAGAAAAGGGUUCACUGAUUUGAACUUACAGUUGCAGGCUACUUCCCGUAUGACUCUCCAAAAUAGAAUGGCUCUAGAUAUGUUGUUAUUGAAGGAGCAUGGAGUCUGUGGGUAUUUAAACAAAAGAAUUGACCACUGUUGCAUCCAUAUCCCAAAUGUAACAAUCGAGGUAGAGAAGGAUAUCUCCCAACUAGAAAUAGUGGAAUCUGGAACAAAGGAAAUUGAAAAGGAGGCCCAGCACAAUUGGAUAGGAGCCUUGUUAGACUCAAUGGGGCUUCAGGUUUCUGGUUGGAUAUCGUCAAUACUGCAAUAUAUAUUGUUGUUUGUGAUUGUACUAAUUGUUGCUUGGAUAGCAUAUAAGUGUGUUUUAGGAAUAAUAACCAAGGAAACAAGACGAACCCGAAGAUUGGUAAAAGCUAUAGGAAGAAACUACGGAUUGGGAAUUCCCCCGCCUAAAUACGAAGAGGUGGCCCUUCCUGCCCUUCCUAGAAGAACCGAAGCUGAAGGUUGAGCAUCCUUGCAGAAGAUCUGAAGAAUGCUCAAAAGGGGGGACUUGUUGCAGAAAUGAUUGAAAAUUAUAUUCUAGUUAACAGAUGCCUAGAUUAGUGAAACAAUAUAAAGUUAGCAUAAGUAGCAGUAGUUAUGCUAAGGCCUCAUAGGCCCGGUAAACUUCAAGUGAACUUUAGUGCUUUAGUGCCAGGUAGAUCGGAAGAUGUAUUAUCUAGAAAAUGUACUAAACCUUAUCUAUGGAAUGCACCUUUUGGCUGAGUAACGGAUGUCAGGGUGUACCUAAUAAAUCUCUGUAUGCUAUCUCUAAAAGUGUGCAGGGAGAUGUUGGAUAUAUAAACCCUGUAAAUUCUGUGGCAAAUUGGGGCUCUGACUUUGGACAAUAGUCCUCAGGUCCCCAGGGCCCUCAAUAAAGCACCGCAUAAAACAA